UGGGGAAAUUGCACAAUGGGCGAAAGCCUGAUGCAGCGACGCCGCGUGAGGGAUGACGGCCUUCGGGUUGUAAACCUCUUUCAGCAGGGAAGAAGCGAAAGUGACGGUACCUGCAGAAGAAGCGCCGGCUAACUACGUGCCAGCAGCCGCGGUAAUACGUAGGGCGCAAGCGUUGUCCGGAAUUAUUGGGCGUAAAGAGCUCGUAGGCGGUUAGUCGCGUCUGCUGUGAAAACUCGAGGCUCAACCUCGGGCUUGCAGUGGGUACGGGCUGACUAGAGUGCGGUAGGGGUGACUGGAAUUCCUGGUGUAGCGGUGGAAUGCGCAGAUAUCAGGAGGAACACCGAUGGCGAAGGCAGGUCACUGGGCCGCAACUGACGCUGAGGAGCGAAAGCAUGGGGAGCGAACAGGAUUAGAUACCCUGGUAGUCCAUGCCGU
rnacentral:rRNA from 1 species